rnacentral:lncRNA from 10 species
CCGGAAAGACAAAUUGUCCUGUCACUGUUAUGAAGAGCAGGGUGAAGGUCUUACAGAGAAAAGAUGGACCACGCAGAAGGAAGAAUUUGUGUUUGGACUUGAACUUCAAUCUUCCCUGGGUCUCCAGCCUGCUGGCCUGCCCUGCAGAUUUUGCAUUUGUCAAGUAUACCUUAUACUUUGAAAAUAAUUAAUGUGUUGAAUGAAUGCCCAGAGGUGAGUCUGGAAGGCAAAGGAGGCUUCUAAGGCAAGAAGGAAAGAGGAAAAGGGAGAUACUUCAAGUACUGCAAAGAGCAGAGGAAGAAGUGAGAAACCCAGGGUGUCCAGAGACAUUGAACGGCACAGACAAGUAAAAUAGGGCU